GACUGUGCUAAGGUAGCGUAAUCAGUUGGCUUUUAAAUGGAGUCGAGUAUGAAUGGGUUUACGGAAACGAGCUGUCUCCUAUUUGGUUAUUUUGAAGUUUCUUUGAGGGUGCAAAGUCCCUUGAUUAGAAAAAAGACGAGAAGACCCUUAGAGUUUUUAUUAAAGAUAAGAAUUUAUUCAAGUUUUUGCUGGGGCGGCAAAGAGACAGAUGAUUAAACUCUCUUUUUAUUAUUUUUAGAAGACGAAAAUGUUAAGAAUCGUUAAACUACCUUAGGGAUAACAGCAUAAUUAAGUUUUAGUUUGUGACCUCGAUGUUGGACUA
rnacentral:rRNA from 1 species